rnacentral:snoRNA from 1 species
UGCAAAUGAUGACAAAAUCAAGGAAUGUUUCUCAAAACAUGCGCCUAAGAGCUUUCGCCCAGCCAGGCGAGCUAGUGCUGUUAGAACCUUCCUUGGAUGUCUGAUGCA